UAGAAAUAAAACUUGGUCGAGUUGUUGCUGGCUCUUAGGGGCAUGUGCACACUUGAUUCAAUUUUAUCUCAACCACCUGUGCACCUUUUGUAGACUUGGAAUAUCUCUCGAGUCAUUCAUUGACUUGGAUUUUGAAGGGUUCGGAUUGUUCUGUUCCCUCGACUUUUCCGGUCUAUGUUUUUCAUAUACACUGUAUCGAACAAUACAAAUUGAAAUGAUCAAUAAAAUUGUAAUA
rnacentral:misc_RNA from 1 species